GACGAACGCUGGCGGCGUGCUUAACACAUGCAAGUCGAACGGAAAGGCCCUGCGUUUGUGGGUUUCUCGAUUGGCGAACGCGUGAGUAACACGUGAGUAACCUGCCCUUGUCUUUGGGAGAUCUUUAGGAAACUGCGGCGAAUACCGCGGAGGAGCUCCUGCACCAUGUGGGGGGUUGGAAAGUUUCGGCUGUGGUGGAUGGACUCGCUGGUUAUCAGCUUGUUGGUGGGGUAGGGGAUGUCCAGGCUUUUGACGGGUAGCCGGCAUGAGAGGGUGACCGGGCACCAUGGGCCUGAGAUACGGAGCAGAAUGGUACGGGCGGCAGCAGUGGGGAAUCUUGCACAAUGGGCGGAAGCCUGAUGCAGCAACGCCGCGUGCGGGAUGCCGGCCUUCGGGUUGUAAACAACUUUCGAAUGUGACGAAGAGUGAGUGACGGUAAUGGGUAAAGAAGCCACGGCUAACUACGUG
rnacentral:rRNA from 1 species